GAGGACUGAACCCAGGUCCCACACAUUCCAGGCAAAUACUCUGCCACUGAGCCCCAAGUCCUGCUCUCUCUGUAUGUCUGUAGAGGCUCACAGAAUUGACAGGGCCUUGAAUUUGUAAUCCUCCUGCCCCAGCCUCCCAAAGGCUGGGGUUACAGGUGCUGGGCUUAAAGGCCACCAUCACCCAGCCUAGUUAUAUCCUUUUUUAGAGGACCGCAUUUUUAACAGAAGUAACCUGUGGAAUUGUCAGAGUCUUGCCUGAUGCAUUCAAACCCUAGAGCGCCAUUUUCAAAGGUCACAGCCUGGGCAUCAUGAUGAGAGUGAGCUUCAGGACAACCAUGGCAGCACAGAGAAAUCCUGCCCCAGAAAGAGGAAAGAAAAGUAUGGAAAGCUAUUCCACUAAGGCAGCAGAGAGAAAUCAUGUCUCAAAAAGAAGAAAAGUAUAGAAAACUGUUCCACGACCUCCCUCUCCGGAGAAGCCAGUCAGCAGUAAUCAGCCUCCUGUGGAUUGGUCCAAGCCCUCAUUGAGUGUGUAUCAUAUGACUAAAUUUGGAGGCCUCAAAGACGUUGGCCACAGUAAAAGGUCGCUGAAUGUACAACAACCACAAAGUGAUUCUACCACAAACAAAGGUGCUUCUGACAGCACUCACAGGAGCUGCAUCACAAGUCCUCAUUCCAAAUGUGACACCCACACGUCUGUGACAUCACGCAGCUCCGAUGUUCCUGCUGGAAUCUGCUAGACUCAGAUUUGAGCUACAAUUGCCAUAAAUGAUAGUGUUUCGAUGUUCACACAAAUUUUUCUGCUCUUACAGACACAUCAGGGUUGAAUUGUGGAAAAUCAAGAAUAUUUCCGUGCUGUCAUCCCUCAGCACAUGGGUAUGAAGUACCAUUACUGCUCGUUUUAUGUUAGAAAGUUUGAUUUUAAGAACUGCUGCUUGGGUUGCUGAUUUGAGUUUCAUAGAAAUCAUUCAGUGAAUUCUGGUGUGGGAUUAGGACAGAAUCUCUAAUAAUUCUCAAAUGCUUCAGUCACACUCCUAACAUUUUGUACUAUUUAUUUAUGAGAAGCAACAUUCUCAGUAUUGACAGUUAUAAAAUCAAAAUAUUGACCCGAAAAGAUGUUAGAGGUGCUGUAGGUCCCACAUAUCAAAUAUUUAACCAAGAUUUGAUUCAUUUAUGUAAAAAUAAGCAAGUACAAUGUAUAAUUAAUAUGCACAUUUGUUUCUGUCUUUAAUAUAUUAUAAAAUUGCAUAUACACUAAAGAAUUGCUUUAAUAUAAAUUUCUUUAUGAUUUAUUGUC